CAGCCGCCACGGUAAUACGGAGGGAGCUAGCGUUGUUCGGAAUUACUGGGCGUAAAGCGCACGUAGGCGGCUUUGUAAGUCAGAGGUGAAAGCCUGGAGCUCAACUCCAGAACUGCCUUUGAGACUGCAUCGCUUGAAUCCAGGAGAGGUGAGUGGAAUUCCGAGUGUAGAGGUGAAAUUCGUAGAUAUUCGGAGGAACACCAGUGGCGAAGGCGGCUCACUGGUCCAUUACUGACGCUGAGGUGCGAAAGCGUGGGGAGCAAACAGGAUUAGAUACCCGAGUAGUCCCUGUCUCUUAUAC
rnacentral:rRNA from 1 species